GCAGGCGUAGCUCAAUCGGCCAGAGCACCAGCCUUCCAAGCUGGGGGUUGCGGGUUCGAGUCCCGUCGCCUGCUCCA
rnacentral:tRNA from 1 species